GACAGAGGGUGCAAACGUUGUUCGGAAUUACUGGGCGUAAAGCGCGUGUAGGCGGCCAUGCAAGUCGGAUGUGAAAGCCCUCGGCUCAACCGGGGAAGUGCACUCGAAACUGCAAGGCUAGAGUCUCGGAGAGGAUCGUGGAAUUCUCGGUGUAAAGGUGAAAUUCGUAGAUAUCGAGAGGAACACCAGUGGCGAAGGCGGCGAUCUGGACGAUGACUGACGCUGAGACGCGAAAGCGUGGGGAGCAAACAGG
rnacentral:rRNA from 1 species